rnacentral:rRNA from 1 species
UACGUAGGGGGCAAGCGUUGUCCGGAUUUAUUGGGCGUAAAGAGCGUGUAGGCGGCCUUACAGGUCAGCUGUGAAAACUCGAGGCUCAACCUCGAGACGUCGGUUGAAACCGUAUGGCUAGAGUCCGGAAGAGGAGAGUGGAAUUCCCGGUGUAGCGGUGAAAUGCGCAGAUAUCGGGAAGAACACCCGUGGCUAAGGCGGCUCUCUAGUACGGUACUGACGCUGAGACGCGAAAGCGUGGGGAGCGAACAGG